rnacentral:rRNA from 1 species
UACGAAGGGUGCUAGCGUUGUUCGGAAUUACUGGGCGUAAAGAGCGCGUAGGCGGUUGUACUAGUCAGGGGUGAAAUCCCACAGCUUAACUGUGGAACUGCCUUUGAAACUGUGCAGCUGGAGUGUGUGAGGGGAUAGCGGAAUUCCUAAUGUAGAGGUGAAAUUCGUAGAUAUUAGGAGGAACACCGGGUGGCGAAGGCGGCUAUCUGGCACACAACUGACGCUGAGGCGCGAAAGCGUGGGGAUCAAACAGG